ACCGGCCCAGGUCGGAAACGGAGCAGGUCAAAACUCCCGUGCUGAUCAGUAGUGGGAUCGCGCCUGUGAAUAGCCACUGUACUCCAGCCUGGACAACAUAGCGAGACCCCGUCUCUUUUAAAAAAAAAAAAAAAGAA
rnacentral:sRNA from 1 species